AAGUCGUAACAAGGUUUCCGUAGGUGAACCUGCGGAAGGAUCAUUAAUGAAGAAAUAAGGGUGCUUUCGAGACCCGACUCUCAUUAUCUACCCUGUGCAUUAAACUUUUUUCUCAUUUAAACACUGUAAAGACUUUGGAUGUAAAUAGCUUGUUUACAAGCAAUGACAAAAUAAAA
rnacentral:misc_RNA from 1 species